GUCGUCGACGUACGUCGUACGAGAGGUUUCGAGUUACUGGCUCAGGACGAACGCUGGCGGCACGCCUAACACAUGCAAGUCGAACGAAGUAAGAAGCUUGCUCUUGCUUAGUGGCGGACGGGUGAGUAACACGUGAGCAACCUGCCUUAAAGAGGGGGACAACAGUUGGAAACGACUGCUAAUACCGCAUAAUGUGCGCUGGAAGCAUUUCCUAUGCACCAAAGGAGCAAUCCGCUUUAAGAUGGGCUCGCGCCUGAUUAGAUAGUUGGUGAGGUAACGGCCCACCAAGUCUGCGAUCAGUAGCCGGACUGAGAGGUUGAACGGCCACAUUGGGACUGAGACACGGCCCAGACUCCUACGGGAGGCAGCAGUGGGGGAUAUUGGUCAAAUGGGGGAAACCCUGAACCAGCGAUGCCGCGUGAGGGAAGAAGGUUUUCGGAUUGUAAACCUCUGUCAUCGGGGAAGAUAAUGACGGUACCCGAGAAGGAAGCCACGGCUAACUACGUGCCAGCCGCGGC
rnacentral:rRNA from 1 species